CUUAACUUACUGAGCAAGGCCAGGGAUCAAACCCAUAUCACCACAGAUACUAGCUAGGUUCUUAACCCACUGAACCACAACGGGAACUCCAUAUUUUCAUAUUCUAAUAUAUCAUAUUAUCAUACAAUUUUAGAUAGACAGUCAGAUAUAGAUACAUGAUAGAGAAGUAGGUGGGUAGGUAGAUAGAUAACAGAUUUCAAAUAAUUAGUCAUAUUUAAAUGCAAUUAUUGUUUUCUGUAUCGAACAUAAAUUUUCUAAUUUUCAAAUCUCUGAAAAGCUUAUAAACAUCAGGAUCUUGGGUAGUAGCAUGUCUUUAUUUAUGAUACCCCAAAAUUCUGAGUCAUCUUUUUGUAUGAAUUCUUUGUAUAAGUAGGAGUUUAAUUAUCUACAAAACAUUUCUCUCUGAAGCAAGGUUCCAACUAGAAAUAAAGAGACACACCAAGAGUUUAUAUGCCUUACGAGGGUCAGAUCAAAUCAAUGAAAUAUUUGAAACUGUAUUUUAAAAUUUGGCAGAGAUAACUUCCCUAAUGUUCAGACUAAGAUAAUUCAUAAUACUAAGAUUCUGCGGUUUGUUUUUUUUCUUUUUGAGUAUGAUCUUUUACCAAUUAGUCAUGAUUAUUUUGAGAAGAAAAAAAAACCCUCAGUGUAAGAAUAUUGUCUUUUAUUUUCCUUCAUUUGUUCAUUCAUUUUAAUGCCUUGUUUAUUAAAAAAAAAACUUUGUGAAUGAUAAAUGCAACCAAGGGUUACAUAUGCUUUGACAGAAGGGGUGUGGGGAACAGUGGGUCUCAAAGAAGAAGGUCAUUCCGCUUGGGGUGGAGAGGGAUUUAGAAAGGUUUUGUAGAGCCACAGAACAAGUCUUGAAAGAUGAGUAGGUCCUUUAUUUGCCCGUGUCCUCUCUUCCUCAAUUUUCUUUUACUCUUAUCUUCACUGCUGUUCCAUUUUCCAAAAGUGUUUUUGUGCAUGACUUCUCACUGGUGCAGCCAGUGGAGAUGGAAUCUGGAAGAUCCCUAGUUAGUCUUAGUUCUACAGAAUUCAUGUCUGCUCCUGGGCCCAGUGUCAACAGAUCGCUUACCAAUAACAAUGUACAUAAGAAACAGCUUAGGGAAGACGCUUGCAAGACUCAGAUCAGGGAGAUAUCUUGUAUUUGUAGGAAAGCUCUGAAGCUUGACUCAGGUAGCAGAGGUAGAGGAAAUGUGGUCAUCUUUGGUUUAGCUCUGAAAGUCGGAUGACGUCUGGGCUUUCAGUCAUCCGUUCUGGGUUGGACUGUUCCUUCCUGUGCUUACAUACAUCCCAUUCUGUUCUACAAGGAGCAGGACUGAAGUUCAAAUAGUAAGGAGCUUAAUGACACCAUAUUUCAAACAAUUAGAUUCCCUACGGGUUUUAGUUCAACAAUUAGGAUGGACAUGAACCAGCUGAGUAGUUCUUCCUCAGGUCCAGUUCACAAGGAUCCUUUGGCUUUGGGGGGAGGAAUCUACAUCUCUACUAUAGUUUUUUUCCUGCUGGAUUUUUUUCUGAAACUUAUAACUGAUUGUUGAGCAACAUCCUCAGCAAAGGGAUGGUGAUAAUUAAUUUAUGUCUAUUUACAAAAGAAAAAUGAAAUACAGAGAUAACAAUCUGAACUGAAGAAAUUAUGUAUUAUUCACCAAAAAAAAACACACAUUUCUUCACUAUUGCUAAGAUAAUGGGCUACAUUUUUCCAUCCUGCCAAGUUAUUUUUCUUUUUAAUUCUUUCCCAAAGGGUUAUGCUUAUUCCUUUCUCACAUUGUUAAUCAGACACGUUUUCUACUUCAUGAUUUUUUUUCUCAGCACGUUUACAUUUGGAAGACAUUUUUAUUAAAUGGGAAAGAAUUUAGGAUUUUUAAAUGUUUGAGACUUUCAGCUGGAGGGAAGGAAAGAGGAAGGGAGUGGAUACCUAAUAUUGUUUUUGUAAUUUACAUGCAUUUUGCUAAGGAAGACCCCAGAUUGUAUGUUUUAGACCUGCAAAAUCCUGGAUCUGCCUGGUGAUAUGGUCCAUAAAGGGCCUGGCAGGGUGUCCGGCUCACACAAGAUCCUCAGGAAAGGGUGGUGCUCCCUCUUCAUUUGUCUCUUAUUCUUGAAAGCGGCAUCGAUCUCACUCUGGCCAUUUAUGCAUCCCGAUCUCUAGCUUGGUGACCAUGCUAAGGAAUAUUCUCAAAUAAUUGUUGAAUGACUGAUAAAAAGCAGGACAGGAGAGAGGGAGAAACUGACUCAUUGCUAUUUUCCUUCUCAUACCACUAAGGGUACCAAAUAAUUGACCUUUCAUUUAUUUUAACUCUAGCGAACACAGACAACUUUCUAUUGAUGGAUAGCAGAGGCUUCUUGGUAUGUAGUACUGUGGUUUUUAAUGGGCAGAGUAAGAAGUGGUAGAUACGAAUUUCGUGGGGAAAUAUGUUAUUUCUGACGUCAUCAAAAUGCUUCAAGGUAGAGACAAUAUAUUAAUAAAGGCAGUCUGUUUUGUUGAUUAUGAGUCUCAUAGGCUGCUGACCCUUUUAGAAAACCAUCAUGUUUUUUUUCAAAGAAAUUAUUUGGAAGAGAUCUGAGAAGUUCUCCUUUAUUUUCUACUCUGUAUAGCUUGUAUGUUUUCCACUCUCUUCCAAAAAAAUUUUAGACUUUUUUCAAAACAUUAAGCAAUAUUCCUGGAUCCCGAUUAUUACUCUAAGUAAAAAUCUUAAAAAUUACCCUCUCUUCCCAGGGCAAAUUGUGAAUCCAGAGAUACUAUGACCACCAUCUCAGGAGAAAUACAAAUUUGGCUUUAACUUUUUUUUCAAAAAGCUUCCUCUUACCUUGGUUCCUUGGAUCCCCACUUUUUCCUACCUUUCUGACUAUUCAUUUCUUAACCUCUUUAUGGACUUCUGUUUUUCUCCUCCCUUAAACUCAGACAUUUUCUAGGCUUAUGUCCAAAGUUUCUUUCCUUCUUUUUAUGUUCUCCCUGGAAAAUUGCACCCAGAUCUCUAUCUUCAUCUGCCUCAAAUGCCUCCAGGGCUCUCCCUUGAGCCCCAAGCUCUUUCUUGAGCUCAUGAGCCUUAUAGUCAAGUGUUCUUGGGAGUCUGGGACCUAAGUCGUAUAAAGAUUCACGAAUAUGGUCCAGAGUCAUCUGGUUUAUGACUUUGGAGAAGGAAUACUGUGCUCUAGCCCUGGGGCCCCGGAUAAAGCUGAUGGUAAAGAAAUGAAGGUCUACAGAGCUGAAAAGGUGCACAAGCUAAUUUAAUGAUCUAAUGGUAAAUCGAUAGAAAGGGGAUAAUACUUCUUAACUAGUUUCUGCGAUUGAAAAUGGUAAAAUUAACACAAGUUAAUUAUUUCUAUUUUCACUCAUUCAGCUGACUACUCCCCAUUAAUCUGUUAGAGUGCUUUUUUAUUUUCAAUCUUUGCCUUUCAAUUUUCUUAGUUAUUUUUGUAAAACUUAAAGUAUUGCACUUAAAAGGCCUGUGAAAAAUAACUAAGGACAAUGUGUUCCAUCAUUAAAAUAAUACACAGACUUCAAAUUAAAAAAUGACUCUCUAUUCCAAAGCUUAAAUAUAAUGACACUCAAAAAACAAUUUUAUCUGAUAAAAUUCAGGUCAUUGAUGAAAGUUCAAUAAAUAGUAUUCUCUAUAGCAAAUAGUACUUUUAUUUGAUUAUUAGUUCAAUUGGUUUUUAUCUGUUUUAAAUGUUGGAUUCAGCAUCCUCAGAUAUGUUGGAUUAUCCUGUUAACGCAUGGAAAGGGACAAUCCUGUUAACAUAUGGAAACAGCAAAUUUCAGAUAGAUAGCAAUUAGUUAUAUAGGAUCCUAACCCCUGUCUCCCUAUAACAUUUGUCACCAUCACAUCCUCACAUUUUGAAUCUCUUAUUCCUCCCACGAUCAGUACCCCAGUGUUCAUGAGGCAAGGAAAAAGAAACAAAGCUUAAAUAUAAGCCUCAACAGAUCCAUACUUUAACAGACAUUGAGUAAAGAGACUUUGAUCACAAGAGAUAUCAAGACCCAGAAGGACUAGUUAAGAGGGAACGUUUCUCAGACAGAAAAGGAAAAGUUAAGCAGAGAGGCGAGAACGAGCUGCCUGUUCUGUGUGUUCCCUGCCCCUCACUCCAAGAUUUGAUGCUCUUGUCACCACUGACCUCUCCAUCUGUGAAGUGCUCUUAUUACGACGGUCGUGACAAGACAUUCUCUUGAUUGUCUUCCCUUCUCCCCACAGGCAAUGUUCCAGUCUCCCAAGAGGGUUCUUCCACUUUGGCCCAAUGAUGAAAACUCUUCUCUUUUAUUUAAUUCUCUUAUGGAACUGACUAGGAAACACACAGCCUAUUCUUGGGUCCAUGUUAUAAACUCCAGUUUUUAAAAAUCAAAUUCCCUGAAUAUUUUUAUGUUCUACAGUUUUCAUCUCAGUAUCUAUAAUGUUUUAAAAUAUGCCUAUAUAAUGCCCCCACAUAUCCUUAAGGAGUAAAAAGGAAAAACGUUGGGAUUAUAAUUUUGAUCUGGAUAUGCUUUGAACAUGGUCAUCCUAAUGGGUAGUUCAUCCAAGACGGCUAAAAGAUUGCUCUUUUGUAUUUCCUUUUAGAGUAGGCUUCAACUACUUACUCUCCAAAUAAAUGGUGUGAAGAAGGGAUUGGCAGGUGCUGUAGACAUCACCAUGGUGACUCUUCAUAAGGGAACUUGACAGCUGAGUAAAUUAAGCUUGUACCACAGAAGAGUCUCCCUGAAACAAGCCCUGACAAAGAGGAGCUCAUUGUAAAAGAUGCCAUCUUAUAAGAGGACACAGUGAGAGUCAACAGAAACAACACUGGCAAGUCCGGAGCAGAGUUGCCGGGACAAGAUCAAAGCAUGACACUGCUUAUACCUGUUGGUCAAGUUAUGUGGUUAGCAGACCAUCUGCUUAAUCCUCUUGGGGCCUGGAAGAGGAAAGAUUUUCUCCAUGCCAAGCAACAACCCAGCCAAUGAGAAACCACCUGCAACUCAGCCAAUGAGAAUUCACCAAAACAUGAAACUCUCUCAUUUUUCUCCAGUGGACUUUUAUUCAAAAAGCUCCUACCAACUCCCUCCUCUCUUCUAUAAAAGAACAUUUCUCCCCUUUAUUCUCCAGACUUGCCUAUGGUUCUCCAUUGUUUGUGUGUCCCAAAUUGCAAUUCUGCUAAAUUCCUGAAUAAACUCUAUUUUGAUCCCUCUCUCAAGUUGAGAAAUUGCUGAUUCUAAAACUUUAUGACAUUUAGAGAACCCAGGAUGGGGUUCCCAUCAUGGUGCAGCAAAAACGAAUCCAGCU